UACAGAGGGUGCAAGCGUUGUUCGGAAUUAUUGGGCGUAAAGGGCGCGUAGGCGGUGCGGUAAGUCUGCGGUGAAAUCUCCCGGCCAUCAUGGGAGGCUGCCGUGGAAACUGCCGUGCUUGAGUGUGGGAGAGGUGAGUGGAAUUCCCGGUGUAGCGGUGAAAUGCGUAGAUAUCGGGAGGAAGGCCGGUGGCGAAGGCGGCGCUCUGGAACAUUUUCUGACGCUGAGGCUCGAAAGCGUGGGGAGCAAACAGGG
rnacentral:rRNA from 1 species